AUUGAACGCUGGCGGCAUGCCUUACACAUGCAAGUCGAACGGCAGCACGGGGCAACCUGGUGGCGAGUGGCGAACGGGUGAGUAAUGCAUCGGAACGUACCUUUCAGUGGGGGAUAACGUAGCGAAAGUUACGCUAAUACCGCAUAUUCUGUGAGCAGGAAAGCAGGGGAUCGCAAAACCUUGCGCUGAUUGAGCGGCCGAUGUCAGAUUAGCUAGUUGGUGAGGUAAAGGCUCACCAAGGCGACGAUCUGUAGCGGGUCUGAGAGGAUGAUCCGCCACACUGGAACUGAGACACGGUCCAGACUCCUACGGGAGGCAGCAGUGGGGAAUUUUGGACAAUGGGGGCAACCCUGAUCCAGCCAUGCCGCGUGAGUGAAGAAGGCCUUCGGGUUGUAAAGCUCUUUCGGCCGGGAAGAAAUCGCACGGGCUAAUACCCUGUGUGGAUGACGGUACCGGCAUAAGAAGCACCGGCUAACUACGUGCCAGCCGCCGCGGUAAGAC
rnacentral:rRNA from 1 species